UUCAGUUGGGAUUAGAGGAGGGUAAAGUCACUGAAGCCCAACAGUUCCCAGAAUUCUGACACGGAGGCAUGUGCCUAUGAGAUCUUCUUUUCAGGCAUCCAUCCUUCCUGGCCCACCUUCAGUACUGAGGAAUUACAGCAGAAAACAUGAAGAAUUGGUGCUUGCUGACUUGCCUGGGAUUGUAAGUUGUAUCCUGGUACUCUGAGCCUCAUGGAUUUGGGAAGGGAAAUUCUCCCUCAAUGGAACGACUUCCAUCCAAGACUGUUCUGCUCUUCAUCUCCAGAAAGAAGCAAAGGACCUCAAAUCUCAGCAUGUACACCAGUAGGAUCAGGCUGAACAGUUUCAAGCUUUGUGUUUCAGUCCUCAGAGCCACCAUACAAGGUACAGUCUGUUUUUUGAACAAAUGGCACAAUUGAGUCAUGGUGAAGUCAACCUUGUGGAUAAGAAGAAGGAUUAACUCUGGCCCUUGGUAGAGCACUGAUCUCGUAUGAUCAAGGCCCUGGAUCGAACUAUGGGAAAUGAAAAAGAAAUUUCAAACAUAAAGACACACACAAACAAUUUAGAACUACCAAUGCAGCUACUUUCAACUUCACUGUACCUUCCUGAAUUGUUUCAAAUGUAAUAUUGAAACUGAA